UACGUAGGGUGCAAGCGUUGUUCGGAAUUAUUGGGCGUAAAGCGCGUGUAGGCGGCUGUCUAAGUCUGAUGUGAAAUCCCGGGGCUUAACUCCGGAAGUGCAUUGGAUACUGGAUAGCUAGAGGACGAGAGAGGAAAGUGGAAUUCCUGGUGUAGGGGUGAAAUCCGUAGAUAUCAGGAGGAACAUCGGUGGCGAAGGCGGCUUUCUGGCUCGUUUCUGACGCUCAGACGCGAAAGCGUGGGUAGCAAACAGG
rnacentral:rRNA from 1 species